rnacentral:rRNA from 1 species
AUUGAACGCUGGCGGAAUGCUUUACACAUGCAAGUCGAACGGUAGAGUAGCAAUACUUGAGAGUGGCGAACGGGUGAGUAAUAUAUCGGAACGUGCCCAGUCGUGGGGGAUAACGUAGUGAAAAUUACGCUAAUACCGCAUACGAUCUAUGGAUGAAAGCGGGGGACCUUCGGGCCUCGCGCGAUUGGAGCGGCCGAUAUCAGAUUAGGUAGUUGGUGGGGUAAAGGCUCACCAAGCCGACGAUCUGUAGCUGGUCUGCGAGGACCACCAGCCACACUGGACUUACGACACGGUGCAGGCUCCGACGGGAAGCAGCAGUGGGGAAUUUUGGACAAUGGGCGAAAGCCUGAUCCAGCCAUUCCGCGUGCAGGAUGAAGGCCUUCGGGUUGUAAACUGCUUUUGUACAGAACGAAAAGGUUUUUUCUAAUAAAGAGAGCCCAUGACGGCACUGUAAGAAUAAGCACCGGCUAACUACGUGCCAGCCGCCGCCGUAA